rnacentral:lncRNA from 1 species
AACACAAAGCCAUGUUUAGAGGUUUGGGACUUUCAGCCCCACCCUCUAACCUCCAGGGAGGGGAGAUGGGCUGAAGGUUGAGUUGAUCACUAAGGGUAACUAGAUAAUCAGAAAUCCUAAGACAAGAGGAUGCAUGUUUAGUAAUUGAAGACAUCACUUGAAAGAAUGUAUUCCCUGGUGAGCAUCAUCUGACUCAGCAUCUACAGUUAGAAUAUGAAGGACAAAGAUGAACACACAGCAAAACCAGACACAGCACUUGAUAAAAAAUGGUUAAACCUUUGCAAUUUCAUAUAGAUCAACUAACUUCUAGGUGGCACGGUUUUCUGGUAACAGGGAAGAAUUGGAUAAUGAGCAAAAUGAGAGCUGGCUGACAACUAUUUGGAGUUGUAGUACCUUGUAAUAUCAUGGCUACACAGCUUUCUUCAAAGGUAAU